rnacentral:rRNA from 1 species
GACGAACGCUGGCGGCGUGCCUAAUACAUGCAAGUAGAACGCUGAAGGAGGAGCUUGCUUCUCUGGAUGAGUUGCGAACGGGUGAGUAACGCGUGGGUAACCUGCCUGGUAGCGGGGGAUAACUAUUGGAAACGAUAGCUAAUACCGCAUAAGAGUAGAUGUUGCAUGACAUUUGCUUAAAAGGUGCAAUUGCAUCACUACCAGAUGGACCUGCGUUGUAUUAGCUAGUUGGUGGGGUAACGGCUUACCAAGGCGACGAUACAUAGCCGACCUGAGAGGGUGAUCGGCCACACUGGGACUGAGACACGGCCCUGACUCCUACGGGAGGCAGCAGUAGGGAAUCUUCGGCAAUGGACGGAAGUCUGACCGAGCAACGCCGCGUGAGUGAAGAAGGUUUUCGGAUCGUAAAGCUCUGUUGUAAGAGAAGAACGAGUGUGAGAGUGGAAAGUUCACACUGUGACGGUAUCUUACCAGAAAGGGACGGCUAACUACGUG